CCAGACUCCUACGGGAGGCAGCAGUGGGGAAUAUUGCACAAUGGGCGGAAGCCUGAUGCAGCAACGCCGCGUGCGGGAUGACGGCCUUCGGGUUGUAAACCGCUUUCGCCUGUGACGAAGCGUGAGUGACGGUAAUGGGUAAAGAAGCACCGGCUAACUACGUGCCAGCAGCCGCGGUGAUACGUAGGGUGCGAGCGUUGUCCGGAUUUAUUGGGCGUAAAGGGCUCGUAGGUGGUUGAUCGCGUCGGAAGUGUAAUCUUGGGGCUUAACCCUGAGCGUGCUUUCGAUACGGGUUGACUUGAGGAAGGUAGGGGAGAAUGGAAUUCCUGGUGGAGCGGUGGAAUGCGCAGAUAUCAGGAGGAACACCAGUGGCGAAGGCGGUUCUCUGGGCCUUUCCUGACGCUGAGGAGCGAAAGCGUGGGGAGCGAACAGGCUUAGAUACCCUGGUAGUCCACGCUGUAAACGGUGGGUACUAGGUGUGGGGUCCAUUCCACGGGUUCCGUGCCGUAGCUAACGCUUUAAGUACCCCGCCUGGGGAGUACGGCCGCAAGGCUAAAACUCAAAGGAAUUGACGGGGGCCCCGCACAAGA
rnacentral:rRNA from 1 species